CCCGAGGUACGCAAACUGGCAAAGCGGCACAGUUGAGCGCUGUGUGACUCUGCGGGUUCGACUCCCGCUCUCGGGA
rnacentral:tRNA from 1 species